AAGUGAGUGCUGUUUGAGGCCUAGAGAAUCAGAGCCUGUGAGGAGUCAGAGACAGGCUGAAGCAGGAGUGAGCUGACAGGAGUUGCUUAGGAGAGCGCUGAAUUUGGAAGGACAACAGUAAUUGUGACCUGCUGGAGUACAACAUCAAAGAGGGAUCUUAAAGCAAGAUGCCAAGCAUGACAAGAAGGACAAGCAGCUCUCUUUGUGGAAUGUGCCAUCACAGAACUUUUUUUCUUACCCCCAAAAAAGAGAACUUUCACUUGUUGUGAGAAGUUAUUUCUUCAUUAGGCAAGCUUAACAUUUCCAAGGACUCUGCUUUCUGAAGAGACAGCCAGCAAUUGUGUGUCCACUGUAUGCGUCUCCAAUGAGAGCAUACACUCUGAUCUCUUUUGGAUUACUUUUGUUCGUUCUUGUUCUCUCUGUUUUCUUAAUCUAAAAUAAAGGUCAUCCUGCCUGAAAGGAUCUGUUUGUUCA